UCAGAUACCUUUUAGAACAGCGUGCU
rnacentral:piRNA from 1 species